GUGCUCACUUUGGCAACACAUAUACCAAAAUUGGAAUGAAACAGAGAAGAUUAGCAUGGCCCCUGUGCCAGGAUGACACGCGAAUUUAUGAAGUGUUCCAUAUUUUU
rnacentral:snRNA from 1 species